CCCUCAGCGCCUGGACUCCGGCUCUGCCGGGGGCCUCCACGCCCCGCGCGUGCGCCUCGGGACGUGCAAGGAGCGAGAACCGGCCUCAAGUGUGCCGCCAUCUUGGGCCGUGGCUGUCUUCCGGGAGCUUUGGGAAGAACCGUCGGACGUGCGCUGGGAGGGUCUCUAAGUGUUUCUUCCAAUGUGUAAAAUAGAUGAAUGUGGAAUUGGCAGAGGGGGCAUCCCAGAAAGCCCAGAACCCCAAUUUCCAGCUCCUCCAUCUAGGGACUCCUAAUCAUCAGUGAUUCUUAAACAUUUAAAUCAGAUCCUGCAGAGACUUUGCUAACACUGAAUCUUAAUGGAAGACAUUUAUGAAACCACCAGACUGACAUCUGAGUGCACAAUUUCUGACAAGAAAGAAGCUGUUUCUUACACAAUACGUUUGGCAUAUUACUUGGCUUGAAUAAACUGUGGGUGUGAGU